rnacentral:rRNA from 2 species
GGCCGUAGCGCGGUGGUCCCACCUGACCCCAUGCCGAACUCAGAAGUGAAACGCCGUAGCGCCGAUGGUAGUGUGGGGUCUCCCCAUGCGAGAGUAGGGAACUGCCAGGCA